UAUGUAGCUAACACCGUUCAGACAUCGUACUACUAGGAGAUAAACUCGUUCUGGUUAUUCGCUAAACCCUCCCUCCGAGGGGUUUAAGUUGCCGUUUUAUCUUCGAGUUGAACUCGAUUCGGUCUAAAUAAAAAAGCGUUCAGACAUCGUUUUAGCGAGAAAGUUACACUGAAUCGAGUUCAAGCAAUGUUUUAAGGAAAUUUAAAACGGUGUCUGAACGACCCCUAAGCGAAAUACACAACCGGAUGAGAAGGUAUUUAUUUACUUAAAGGUACGUGUGUGUGACUUUCUAUAGUCGUCAGCCCUGCCUUUAAAGAAUACUAUGGGUGACUUUGCAUUACAACCUGCUAUUGAAAAGCCUCAAGGAAGGAAGACUGUAAUUCAGCUCCGUCCUUGGACACCAUUUCCGGGUUGUAAGGGUAGGGUUAUAAUAAGCUUUGCGUGUAAAGAGAUUUUGUUUAAUUCUUCCUUUGUACAUUGUUAUUUUUAUUACGUACGUAAUCGUCUUCACCAAAGUGCGGAAAGGUGACUCGACACAUCGGGAAAAGGAAGUUAAAUGACAGUGCCGUCUACUCAUCAGGAGAAGGACCGCAAUCCUGCAAAUGUUGGACUGGUACUAUACUGAACAACUGCAGCUUCACUUCUGGUACUGACGUAAACUACUCUAUAGUCAAACAGACUGGGACCAUCCUUAUUACAAGGAUCAGCUGCUAGUGAAUAAACGGAUGUCAUAUUUUGUUACAUUAUUGCCCGGACAGUGUAAAGAGACAUCAUGAAAUUCAACUGAUCGGUGAGGUGAAUAUUCGUGUACAACACGUCCUAAACAUAAGAGCCUCAACUGCCGUCAAUACUGAAUUAGGCCUAUACAGAUUUGUUGAUAACUUCGCUUGUUUAAAGAGACACAAACCCAGCCCUGUGCAGACAGAUUGCAAAGGAUUGUUGGGCUUAGGUCUACAACAUUUAAGCAAGCAAGUCCAUGAACACGGCCUUUGAUUUGGCGUAUUGCUCUGAGAACUUCAUCCAACAAAAUUGACGGAAGUCAGUUUAAGAUGGAACUACCCCGUCAACUCGUCCAGCCCCGCACUGUGUUUCUGGUGCUAUUUCUCGGCAGUGCAUUUCAGUGGGGAUCUUCCACAGGUGACGUUGAGUCACUUCCCGAUGAACUACUCUCGAAGAUAUCCGAUUUACAGAGAUACUUCUGUGACAGCUGUAACGAUUCGUUCGAACCAUGCAACCCAAGCAAUUCAAGGAGAUGUCCAUUCUGUCAGCAGAUCUGCCAGCCCAUUAAGCGUGGGGAAGACACCGUGGAUGCGGAAUGUCAUGAAGAGUCGUGCAGUGACUACGGAUCUCUGUGUGAAGAUGAACAGUGCGACAUUUGCCGUUUCACCGAUGCCUAUGUGACGGAGUGCGAGUUCGACAAUGACGACGACAUCUGCGUGUUCAACACCACCGAGUCGAACAAAGUCUUCUGCAUUUGCGAGGGUAUACCGGGAAUCGUUGUGGACAAAAGUUGUAGCGACCGGCGAAGUGAAUUGUCUACCAAACAGCCGCCUUCGGGGCAGGUCAGCACCCGGGCAUUGGUUAUUGGCAGUAUCCUGGCCAUAGUGUUUGUGACUGCAUUCCUUGCUGUGAUUUGCUUUUGCCCGAAAAGCAAGCUGAUGUGCAAAAGGCGACCCAAUGGAAACAAUGCCACCACUGAUGGGAGGAGACAAAAAGAGAGCAACAACAGACCCUCGGAACUACAGCCAACGGCCCCCCUAAAUGCAUCCAAUCUUGGACAAUCGGUCUCAAAUGAGCAAAGCAACCCUACAUACGGCAUUUCCCUUUAUCCUUUGAAUGACACUGAAAUUCAGAAGUUGUCCCGUGAAAAUGUUGAACGUGGUACCCCCGGUCGGGGGCAUGGCCGCGCAGCCAGUGAUGGAGAGCAGGUCAUGCCAUCGGCUCCGCCUAUAGAAGAAGCGGGUACGAAGGCCUCUGAACGACAUCAGUAUUUUGUUUUGGAACCGGAACCACCACUUAAUGGAAAAUACAGUCCAGAUACGGAGUCCCAACAUCGCAACGAGUACGUAACGGUACCACAACACGGCCACAACUAUUUCACCUUAGAACCACCAUUUGGUAACCAUGACGACGAAACUUCAGAUUCUAAAGCUCAAGAGACAACCUCGAACCCAGGAGUCAGCAAAACUAGGGCUUACGAUCACAUCAAUCGAUCGCACGGCGAGCAUGCGCACGAGUCUUCCGAGCGUUCGAACUACGCUCAUUUGGAUCCACAACCCGCAUACGAUCACUUCAGCCGACCUGGACAAACACAAACUACAGAGGGCGCUGUGAGCGACAACGUGUACAGUCAUCUGGAAUCCCAUGAUGAGAAAUAGUCUGUGGUGAACCUACGCCACACUCAUCCCAAUUACGAAUUCUUGACCAGUUUCAAAGAGACAUUUCAUAUACUACAUGCUUUGUCAUGCGGCCUACUUUUCAGUGGUGGUCUCUUAAGUUAUACUUUGGAUCAAACCCUAAUUCGGGUCAAACGUCUACGUAACAUUGUUGGUUCCUCAUACUUUUCAAGGCUUCUUGAAUUGAUUCCACGUUACAUGGUUUAUACAGCUGAGGGCCUUACCUUAUUACACUAGCGGAUUUUGUUGUAGAGAUUAUACCGUUAGGCCUAGGAGUUCAAUUGUGAGGCCACUAACAUGUUCGAUUUAUUCUUAACGUAUUUAUUGUUUUACACAAGUUUUAUUUGGAGACAUCUGCUAGUUUUUCAAAGUUGUUAUGCACUGUAUUAGGACGCACAGGCACCUUAACGAAUCCGAUGAUUAGGCUAGGUGUAAAUAAAACUUAGUCACCGACAUGGUGUUGGUAAUAUUUUUUUGAUAUCUGUACCAGUAAUGGACAAACUUUAUAAUACUUUAGCAACAACUUGAUCGUUUUAUUGGCAAUAACAAGUUAGAACUAAAAAUUCAGCAAGUUUAAAAAACGCCCCUCAACUUGCGUCCAUUAUACUGAUGACAAGUUGCAUACGUGUGCGUUGAUAGAGUUCGGUAACUUACUACUCCAAUAAAAAAAUGGCUCAUAAAAUCUACGACUGUAAUGGUAAACAGGCUCGUAAAUGCUUAUACGACAAUCGUCGUAAAACAAAAGCCCACUGUAUACGAAUUUCAUAGUUUAUAGCCCUACUGAACAAUUGCCCGGUUGUAUAGAUUAGUCAGGGUGCCUUUUCAAUAAUUUUUUUUUAUAAUAUUUCUACGCUCGUAAAGGGCAAUUAACGUUCCGACAACAAAAUUUACAUAUCGCCUGAGGCAACUAGUUAGAGUCCAUAAAAUGCCAUUGCGCAGAGUUUUUAUUUACUGUACAUGAUCCCAAUUUCAUCAGUCCAACGAGUACGCAGUAAGAUAGCUCGCUCUCCAAAAGAUCAGACAGGAGAACUUUGAAUAAGAUGAUGGCACUUUUGAUUUUGAUGGGAAUGCUCAUAGUGGGUGCAGUGGGAGAAGACUGCUCCUUUGAGAAAGUCAAUGGCAAAGACAUUCCAAUUGCGUUCAGAGCGCAAACCACCGAAAGUGACAGCGACUGUUCCGAUUGUAUCAUGCAAUACUGCACCACUAUUCAGCUACUGGCUGCUUAUCGCGCCGGCUUUUCGUCUGACGAGUGGUUCUGGUAUGUUGGUUACGAAAAACAGGCGAAAAUUGGCACCUGCGAUGAAGGGGUCAUGCCAGACGAUCAACAUUGCACAUACACAGAUGAUAACCUUAUCCAGCUUAAGGAGUCCGCGGGCGACACUGAAGUAGCGAGAACGGCCUGCUGUCCUCUGAUGGAAAACGCUGCACUGAGCCCCGAUAAAUACGCGACAGCCGACCUAGGCUCCGAUGCCUGCUGGGCCCGGAUGGCCAAGCCCUGCAGCUGGAAGUACCUGGAGCGCUUAGUCAAGAACGAUGAGGAGCUGCUGCCCACUGUCCGCGGCUGGUUCGACAGGUUCGGUCAGGUCGUAAAACCGAAGUUCAACGCCAAUUGGCUACCAAACGGCAAGAAUAUUAGGCAAGGUAGGAGCUACAAGCAAUUCUGCUGUGGACGCCUGUCUUAUCUCACCACUGAUGAGAUACACCUUGACUUAGGUGUUGAGAUCGAUGGAGCUGGCAUGGCAUCGAAGUGUUCGGAUCUCGGCAGGGGCGUCCAUCCGUGCAACCUAGAAGAGCUCCAUGAAGCCUUUCGUCUCGGGCACCUGGUCGUAGACUGGACAUUCUUUAAGCAGCCUGGUCGCCUGUUUAAGAUGGCGGGCCCUCAGUGCAAGGGCAAGGCUGAAGAGCAAUGCUAUAUGGACGUAAUUGAGACCAAACAUCGUGGCCUGCUGGACGAAACGGAAUUCAGACUUGCUUGCUGCGGCCCUCUGUAGAAUGGGCCUCCUCGUAUUAGUCUUGGUCUGAGACUAGAUUUGGAAUUUUGUUUCCAUAAUGCAGUUAGGGUGCUCUAAACAAUAAAAACUAAAUCCAUUUUGGGGAACAUUGGCGCUCGAUUGAAACCAAAAAAACGCGCUGAAUCAAGCUUAUUCGCGAGUAAGGUUUACUCGGAAUUUUUAGAGUCCGAGUGCCAAAGCUCCCAGUGGACUAUAUUUUUAUUUGUCUUGUUAAUGGCGCCCUCUAUCGCCGCAGGGGAUUCACACCGGCUGCAUUUGGGGAACAAAAUCCAAAUGUAGUGUAGGACUAAGACUAAUGAAACCCCAUAAUAUCGCGUUGAUGCUGUAUAAUACAUGUCAUAUGACCUUUGUGCUGUCGCUCUUCGUUCGCAAACGUUUUCCUUCUUGACUCAGAUAUGAUACACAGCCACAGCAAAAAUAGGAAAAAAACGUGAACACACAUAAAUAAAAGUCAGGUAUUAGUCAACGUCUAAUGAGAAGAACGUAAAAGAAAUUGAACUUGUUUCUUUUCAAAAAAAGGUUAAAACACAUAUACCGGAUGCAUUAAAAAAGUUCCAAAUGUCAUAGAAGCACUGCAACUUAACGCACAAAACCUAAAAAAAUAAAACACAAAUUAUCAUUACUGAAGACAACCACUAUCCGAACUACCAUAGGAGUAUAGUUAUGUUUGUACCAUUUAAAGAAUAUAAAUGUUUUCAAGUACGUACAUAAAUACAAUUUUCUUUCAGUUGAUGUGCAAAUCAACGUAGAUGUUUUGGGUAACCUUUUCAAAAUGUUGAACAUAAUAAUGGAUUGGAACGGAAAAUGACACAACAAUGUAUUCAAAAUGAAAUCAUGUUUUAUGGUGACGGGGUUUAUCAAUGGUUUCAAAUUCAAUUUUUAACUUUUUAGGAUUAGUUUUCAAGAUUAGGAUUUAGUUUUCAAGAUGCAUGCUUUUCAGAUUCGAAUUUAUUAAAGAUGUAUUACCUGCAACCAAAUACCAACCUGAUCUUAGUGCCACACUUAAACGGAUCCAAGAAGGCGAAGGAACAACAAAUGCCAUGCCCCUUAAAUAUUAAUCAACCAUGUACAAAAAUUCAAAGACCGUCUCAUAUGGAGACCAAUCAGUUUUGUGGCAGACAUACCUUCAUCUCCUGGAUUCGUUUACUUCCAGUGGUUCAUUUACUAGAUCAUGAAGGUGUGAUGACUCCAGUCAAGGCUAACUGAUGAACCAUGGUAUUCGUAGGUCAUGGUUGCAGAGUCUUAGUUAAUUUAUAUGUAUCUCCAAUUACAUAAUUCAAUUUUUAAGAAGGUGGAGGGCUUUUGGUGAAUAAAUUAUGUUACAAGCAAAGCUUAGAGUGUUCUGCUUGGUGAGUUCUGAAACCAAAUUUUCAA